rnacentral:rRNA from 1 species
AUUGAAUGCUGGCGGCAGGCCUAACACAUGCAAGUCGAGCGAGCGGCGGACGGGUGAGUAAUGUCUGGGAAACUGCCUGAUGGAGGGGGAUAACUACUGGAAACGGUAGCUAAUACCGCAUACCAUCAGAUGUGCCCAGAUGGGAUUAGCUGGUAGGUGGGGUAACGGCUCACCUAGGCGUGGAUCCCUAGCUGGUCUGAGAGGAUGACAAGCCACACGGGAACUGGAACACGGUCCAGAUUCCUACGGGAGGCGGCAGGGGGGAAUAUUGCACAAUGGGCGCAGGCCGGAUGCAGCCAUGCCGGGUGGGUGAAGAAGGCCUUCGGGUUGUAAAGCACUUUCAGCGGGGAGGCGUUACCCGCAGAAGAAGCACCGGCUAACUCCGUGCCAGCAGCCGCGGUAAUUC